rnacentral:tRNA from 1 species
UCCCUGGAGGACUAGUGGUUAGGCCAGUACACUCUCACUGCCAUGGCCUGGGUUCGAUUCCCGGCCAGGGAA